AUUGAACGCUGGCGGCAUGCCUUACACAUGCAAGUCGAACGGUAACGCGGGGGCAACCCUGGCGACGAGUGGCGAACGGGUGAGUAAUACAUCGGAACAUGUCCAGUAGCGGGGGAUAACCUGUCGAAAGAUAGGCUAAUACCGCAUACGAUCUACGGAUGAAAGCGGGGGACCGCAAGGCCCCGCACUAUUGGAGUGGCCGAUGUCGGAUUAGCUAGUUGGUGGGGUAAAAGCCUACCAAGGCGACGAUCCGUAGCUGGUCUGAGAGGACGAUCAGCCACACUGGAACUGAGACACGGUCCAGACUCCUACGGGAGGCAGCAGUGGGGAAUUUUGGACAAUGGGCGCAAGCCUGAUCCAGCCAUGCCGCGUGAGUGAAGAAGGCCUUCGGGUUGUAAAGCUCUUUCGGUGAAGACGAAACGGUUAGCGUUAAUAGCGCUGACUAAUGACGGUACUCACAGAAGAAGCACCGGCUAACUACGUGCCAGCCGCCGCCGUAA
rnacentral:rRNA from 1 species